rnacentral:rRNA from 1 species
UACCUUAUGAAUAAGCAUCGGCUAACUUCGUGCCAGCAGCCGCGGUAAUACGAAGGAUGCGAGCGUUAUCCGGAUUUAUUGGGUUUAAAGGGUGCGCAGGCGGGCUUUUAAGUCAGCGGUGAAAUCUAGAGGCUUAACCUCUAGCUUGCCGUUGAAACUGAUUGUCUUGAGUAUAUUCGAAGUAGGCGGAAUUCGUUGUGUAGCGGUGAAAUGCAUAGAUAUAACGAGGAACUCCGAUUGCGUAGGCAGCUUACUAGACUAUAACUGACGCUCAUGCACGAAAGUGUGGGUAUCGAACAGGAUUAGAUACCCUGGUAGUCCACACAGUAAACGAUGAUUACUGGUUUUUUGCGAUAUACAGUAAGAGACUAAGCGAAAGCGAUAAGUAAUCCACCUGGGGAGUACGUUGGCAACAAUGAAACU